CGUGUAGGCGGUCAGGUAAGUGGAAUGUGAAAUGCCCCGGCUCGCCCGGGGACCGGCAUCCCAAACUGCCUGGCUUGAGUAUGGGAGAGGAUGGAGGAAUUCCUGGUGUAGCGGUGAAAUGCGUAGAUAUCAGGAGGAACACCGGUGGCGAAGGCGUCCAUCUGGCCCAAGUACUGACGCUGAGGCGCGAAAGCUAGGGGAGCAAACG
rnacentral:rRNA from 1 species